UGGGGAAUAUUGGGCAAUGGGCGCAAGCCUGACCCAGCAACGCCGCGUGAAGGAAGAAGGUUUUCGGAUUGUAAACUUCUGUCCUCAGUGACGAAGGAAGUGACGGUAACUGAGGAGGAAGCCCCGGCUAACUACGUGCCAGCAGCCGCGGUAAUACGUAGGGGGCAAGCGUUGUCCGGAAUGACUGGGCGUAAAGGGCGUGUAGGCGGCCGAUUAAGUCUGAAGUGAAAGUCCUGCUUUCAAGGUGGGAAUUGCUUUGGAGACUGGUUGGCUUGAGUGCGGAAGAGGUAAGUGGAAUUCCCAGUGUAGCGGUGAAAUGCGUAGAGAUUGGGAGGAACACCAGUGGCGAAGGCGACUUACUGGGCCGUAACUGACGCUGAGGCGCGAAAGCGUGGGGAGCGAACAGGAUUAGAUACCCUGGUAGU
rnacentral:rRNA from 1 species